rnacentral:ncRNA from 1 species
UUUCUUUGACGGUGUGAAGCCACUUCAGUGCAGCAUGGUCGGUUUGCAGGUGGAAACGCCGUCCCCAAACAUAUGGGCGUAGCUUUUCCAGAGCGUAGACAAUGGCGUAACAUUCUUUUUCAGUGACUGACCAGUGGCUUUCCCUCUCAGACAGUUUUUUGCUGAGAAACACUACAGGGUGGAAUUCUUGAUCAGGUCCUUUCUGCAUUAAAACUGCUCCCACACCACGCUCGGACGCAUCUGUGGUUACUAGGAACGGUUUGUCAAAGUCUGGGGCCCUUAGUACAGGGUCAGACAUGAGUGUCGCUUUAAGCUUGUUAAAGGCCUUCUGACACUUUUCGGUCCACUGAACAGCAUUUGGCUGUUUCUUUUUGGUUAGGUCUGUCAGUGGGGCGGCGAUUUGGCUGUAUUGCGGUACAAAUCACCUGUAAUAUCCGGCCAACCCUAAGAAGGAUUGGACCUGGUCUUUUUUUACUUUGGGACAGGCCACUUUUGGAUAGCAUCCACUUUGGCCUGUAGGGGGCUGAUAGUUCCUUGACCCACCUGGUGUCCAAGGUAAGUCACUCUGUUUAGGCCUAUUUGACACUUCUUAGCCUUAACAGUUAGUCCUGCCUCCCUUAUGCGCUCAAGGACUUUUUGUAGAUGUUCCAGGUGUUCUGCCCCGGAAUCCAAAAAUAUGGCCAUAUCCUCAAGGUAGACGACUGCAUAUUCUCCUAAUCCCACUAGGAGACCAUCUACAAGUCUUUGGAAGGUGGCAGGUGUAUUUCUCAGCCGGAAAGGGAGUACAUUAAAUUCAUACAGCCCGACAUGUGUGGUGAAGGCUGACCUUUCCUUGGCGGAUUCAUCUAGCGGUACCUGCCAGUACCCCUUGGUUAAGUCCAAGGUAGAGAUGAACUGGGCCCAUCCCAGUUUCUCUAACAGUUCAUCUGUGCAUGGCAUGGGAUAGUUGUCUGGGCAAGUUACAGCAUUUAGCUUACUGUAGUCCACGCAAAAACGUAUCUCCCUAUCUGGUUUGGGAACUAGAACCACUGGAGAUGCCCAUGCACUUCCAGAGGGGCGGAUUACACCCAUCUGUAACAUAUCCUGGAUCUCCCGGUCUAUAGUAGUUUUAGCUUGAGGAGACACCCGGUAAGGUUGGACUUUAAUUGGGUGAGCAUUACCUGUGUCAAUGUAGAGGUAUGCCCGUUCAGUCAGUCCUGGGGUGGCUGAGAACUUCGGCGCAUAGCUAGUGCACAGCUCCUUGAUCUGUUGUCGCUGCAUAAGCCCAAGGGUCAUGGAGAGGUUCACCUCUUCCACGCCAUCAGUACUUUUCCCUUCGUAGUAGACACCUUCAGGCCACUCAGCGUCGUCUCCUCCCUGAGCUGUAAACUGGUAGUCAUUUUCCUGCUUCCUUGUGCUGGGCAGAUUCCAGAGAAGCCGGCAGGAGCCCCGGGGAGAGUUCUCUUUUCUUUGUGAAGGGCAGGGCACCCUGGAAUGGGUUCACUCCAAGAGAGUGGCCCGAGCCUUGGAAAGCACCAAUGUUCCAGCAGUGUCUGGUGAGCUCUCACUGGCUUUUGAAAAUCUGGGGGAGAUGGUGUAAAUCUCGUGCUGGGCCAUACCCAUAUCUUCAGCAGGUCUCCAAGGUGAACAGCCUCUGGCAUGUUAGAACAAUGUAGGAAAGGGAAGUUGGCAAGCCAGAUCCGUAACUUUGGGAUAAAGAUUGGCUCUAAGGACUGGAGUGACAAGAGGGGCUGGACGUGAUCCAUGGCUGGAUGAGGCGCCGCCCUCUCCAGGGGUGGCGGCAACUCUGGAUGUGAGUUGGGCCCUUCCUGUGGAUUGCCCCAGCUGCAGCAGGCAUCGCUCACCUCUCCCCCUCUCUGGGGAUGGUGGGAGGGGUGGUGUUCCACCUCAGCUGGCACCUAGCAUCUGACUUAGACCUGAUGCAGACCAGGGGAAUCUGACUGUUUAAUUAAAACAAAGCAUCGUGAAUCUCUGCAGUGGGUGUUGACACAAUGUGAUUUCUUCCCAGUGCUCUCAAAUGGCAGGAGUAACUAUGACUCUCUUAAGACCUUCUAUGCAUCUCUGGGUAAUCAGUGAGGUGGAGAAGGGUGUUAUCAUAAAUAUAAAGGGAAGGAUAACCACCUUUCUGUAUACAGUGCUAUAAAAUCCCUCCUGGCCAGAGGCAAAGUCCUUUUACCUGU